rnacentral:rRNA from 1 species
UACGUAGGCAGCAAGCGUUGUUCGGAGUUACUGGGCGUAAAGGGUGCGUAGGCGGCCCUGUAAGUAUGGUGUGAAAUCUCCCGGCUUAACUGGGAGGGUGCGCUAUAGGCUGCGGGGCUCGAGUGUGGGAGAGGAAAGUGGAAUUCCUGGUGUAGCGGUGAAAUGCGUAGAUAUCAGGAGGAACACCGGUGGUGUAAACGGCUUUCUGGACCAUAACUGACGCUGAGGCACGAAAGCGUGGGUAGCAAACAGG